UGAGGAAUAUUGCACAAUGGGCGCAAGCCUGAUGCAGCAACGCCGCGUGAGGGACGAAGGCCUUCGGGUCGUAAACCUCUUUUCUGGGGAAAGAGCAAGGACGGUACCUCAGGAAUAAGUCUCGGCUAACUACGUGCCAGCAGCCGCGGUAAAACGUAGGAGGCGAGCGUUAUCCGGAUUUACUGGGCGUAAAGCGCACGCAGGUGGUUUCGUAAGUCGGACAUGAAAGCUCCUGGCUUAACUGGGAGAGGCUGUUCGAUACUGCGGGGCUUGAGGUUGGGAGAGGGGUGUGGAAUUCCCGGUGUAGUGGUGGAAUGCGUAGAUAUCGGGAGGAACACCUGUGGCGAAAGCGGCACCCUGGCCCACACCUGACGCUGAGGUGCGAAAGCGUGGGUAGCAAACAGGAUUAGAUACCCUGGUAGUCCACGCCGUAAACGAUGUCAACUGGGUGUCGGUAGUUUUACACUAUCGGUGCCGAAGCAAACGCGUUAAGUUGACCGCCU
rnacentral:rRNA from 1 species